rnacentral:ncRNA from 1 species
GGCAGCUUGCCCCGAAAGGGGGUGCUAUACAUGUUUCAACAAAUCUUCACAUUGAUUGUCGCACCACUUUUCGUGGGCUUAGUCAUUGAACUAGUUUCUCAUUGGUUAGACGAGAAAGACGACGAUUAAAAGCAAGUUGCUAACUAACCCACAACGCUAGCCGUCGC